AGCGUACACGGUGGAUGCCCUGGCAGUCAGAGGCGAUGAAGGACGUGCUAAUCUGCGAUAAGCGUCGGUAAGGUGAUAUGAACCGUUAUAACCGGCGAUUUCCGAAUGGGGAAACCCAGUGUGUUUCGACACACUAUCAUUAACUGAAUCCAUAGGUUAAUGAGGCGAACCGGGGGAACUGAAACAUCUAAGUACCCCGAGGAAAAGAAAUCAACCGAGAUUCCCCCAGUAGCGGCGAGCGAACGGGGAGGAGCCCAGAGCCUGAAUCAGUGUGUGUGUUAGUGGAAGCGUCUGGAAAGGCGCGCGAUACAGGGUGACAGCCCCGUACACAAAAAUGCACAUGCUGUGAGCUCGAUGAGUAGGGCGGGACACGUGGUAUCCUGUCUGAAUAUGGGGGGACCAUCCUCCAAGGCUAAAUACUCCUGACUGACCGAUAGUGAACCAGUACCGUGAGGGAAAGGCGAAAAGAACCCCGGCGAGGGGAGUGAAAAAGAACCUGAAACCGUGUACGUACAAGCAGUGGGAGCACGCUUAGGCGUGUGACUGCGUACCUUUUGUAUAAUGGGUCAGCGACUUAUAUUCUGUAGCAAGGUUAACCGAAUAGGGGAGCCGAAGGGAAACCGAGUCUUAACUGGGCGUUAAGUUGCAGGGUAUAGACCCGAAACCCGGUGAUCUAGCCAUGGGCAGGUUGAAGGUUGGGUAACACUAACUGGAGGACCGAACCGACUAAUGUUGAAAAAUUAGCGGAUGACUUGUGGCUGGGGGUGAAAGGCCAAUCAAACCGGGAGAUAGCUGGUUCUCCCCGAAAGCUAUUUAGGUAGCGCCUCGUGAAUUCAUCUCCGGGGGUAGAGCACUGUUUCGGCAAGGGGGUCAUCCCGACUUACCAACCCGAUGCAAACUGCGAAUACCGGAGAAUGUUAUCACGGGAGACACACGGCGGGUGCUAACGUCCGUCGUGAAGAGGGAAACAACCCAGACCGCCAGCUAAGGUCCCAAAGUCAUGGUUAAGUGGGAAACGAUGUGGGAAGGCCCAGACAGCCAGGAUGUUGGCUUAGAAGCAGCCAUCAUUUAAAGAAAGCGUAAUAGCUCACUGGUCGAGUCGGCCUGCGCGGAAGAUGUAACGGGGCUAAACCAUGCACCGAAGCUGCGGCAGCGACGCUUAUGCGUUGUUGGGUAGGGGAGCGUUCUGUAAGCCUGUGAAGGUGUACUGUGAGGUAUGCUGGAGGUAUCAGAAGUGCGAAUGCUGACAUAAGUAACGAUAAAGCGGGUGAAAAGCCCGCUCGCCGGAAGACCAAGGGUUCCUGUCCAACGUUAAUCGGGGCAGGGUGAGUCGACCCCUAAGGCGAGGCCGAAAGGCGUAGUCGAUGGGAAACAGGUUAAUAUUCCUGUACUUGGUGUUACUGCGAAGGGGGGACGGAGAAGGCUAUGUUGGCCGGGCGACGGUUGUCCCGGUUUAAGCGUGUAGGCUGGUUUUCCAGGCAAAUCCGGAAAAUCAAGGCUGAGGCGUGAUGACGAGGCACUACGGUGCUGAAGCAACAAAUGCCCUGCUUCCAGGAAAAGCCUCUAAGCAUCAGGUAACAUCAAAUCGUACCCCAAACCGACACAGGUGGUCAGGUAGAGAAUACCAAGGCGCUUGAGAGAACUCGGGUGAAGGAACUAGGCAAAAUGGUGCCGUAACUUCGGGAGAAGGCACGCUGAUAUGUAGGUGAAGUCCCUCGCGGAUGGAGCUGAAAUCAGUCGAAGAUACCAGCUGGCUGCAACUGUUUAUUAAAAACACAGCACUGUGCAAACACGAAAGUGGACGUAUACGGUGUGACGCCUGCCCGGUGCCGGAAGGUUAAUUGAUGGGGUUAGCGCAAGCGAAGCUCUUGAUCGAAGCCCCGGUAAACGGCGGCCGUAACUAUAACGGUCCUAAGGUAGCGAAAUUCCUUGUCGGGUAAGUUCCGACCUGCACGAAUGGCGUAAUGAUGGCCAGGCUGUCUCCACCCGAGACUCAGUGAAAUUGAACUCGCUGUGAAGAUGCAGUGUACCCGCGGCAAGACGGAAAGACCCCGUGAACCUUUACUAUAGCUUGACACUGAACAUUGAGCCUUGAUGUGUAGGAUAGGUGGGAGGCUUUGAAGUGUGGACGCCAGUCUGCAUGGAGCCGACCUUGAAAUACCACCCUUUAAUGUUUGAUGUUCUAACGUUGACCCGUAAUCCGGGUUGCGGACAGUGUCUGGUGGGUAGUUUGACUGGGGCGGUCUCCUCCUAAAGAGUAACGGAGGAGCACGAAGGUUGGCUAAUCCUGGUCGGACAUCAGGAGGUUAGUGCAAUGGCAUAAGCCAGCUUGACUGCGAGCGUGACGGCGCGAGCAGGUGCGAAAGCAGGUCAUAGUGAUCCGGUGGUUCUGAAUGGAAGGGCCAUCGCUCAACGGAUAAAAGGUACUCCGGGGAUAACAGGCUGAUACCGCCCAAGAGUUCAUAUCGACGGCGGUGUUUGGCACCUCGAUGUCGGCUCAUCACAUCCUGGGGCUGAAGUAGGUCCCAAGGGUAUGGCUGUUCGCCAUUUAAAGUGGUACGCGAGCUGGGUUUAGAACGUCGUGAGACAGUUCGGUCCCUAUCUGCCGUGGGCGCUGGAGAACUGAGGGGGGCUGCUCCUAGUACGAGAGGACCGGAGUGGACGCAUCACUGGUGUUCGGGUUGUCAUGCCAAUGGCACUGCCCGGUAGCUAAAUGCGGAAGAGAUAAGUGCUGAAAGCAUCUAAGCACGAAACUUGCCCCGAGAUGAGUUCUCCCUGACUCCUUGA
rnacentral:rRNA from 1 species